rnacentral:antisense_RNA from 1 species
CUUGAUCGACCCGAGCAGCAGCGGGCGUUCGCGGUCCUGUCCGUAGGUGGCGAGGAGCCCCUGCGCCUC